CCACCAACAAAGGUGACAUAGUCAUUUCAGAUGGAGUCUACUGGAUCUAGGAAAAAGCUCCCUGUCAGCUCUCAGCAGGUGCAGGGUGCUGGGUCCAGGGACAGGUCCACAGGCAACCCUGCCAAUUCAAAUGUUAACCGAGCCAGCCAGUCGAAGGGUGCUGGGUCAAGUCAUCAGUCCAGCCACAGUGAUGGAUCCCGGCACAGUGAUGAGUCCAG